rnacentral:rRNA from 1 species
CCUACGGGAGGCAGCAGUGGGGAAUAUUGCACAAUGGGGGAAACCCUGAUGCAGCGACGCCGCGUGAGUGAAGAAGUAAUUCGUUAUGUAAAGCUCUAUCAGCAGGGAAGAAAAUGACGGUACCUGAGUAAGAAGCCCCGGCUAAAUACGUGCCAGCAGCCGCGGUAAUACGUAGGGGGCAAGCGUUAUCCGGAUUUACUGGGUGGAAAGGGAGCGUAGACGGCAGUACAAGUCUGGAGUGAAAGGCGGGGGCUCAACCCCCGGACUGCUCUGGAAACUGUACGGCUGGAGUGCAGGAGAGGUAAGUGGAAUUCCUAGUGUAGCGGUGAAAUGCGUAGAUAUUAGGAGGAACACCAGUGGCGAAGGCGGCUUACUGGACUGUAACUGACGUUGAGGCUCGAAAGCGUGGGGAGCAAACAGGAUUAGAUACCCCGGUAGUC